AGGGAUUUCUGCUUCUUGUUUUUGCCCCACUGAGGAUUUCAUUUCUCAUUUGCUUUUUCCAGAAUCGGACAUUGAUCGUUCCUCCGGAAUUAUUCCCUGCCGUACGCUUCAGUCUUGGCAUCCAAAUUCCUACCUUCUCUUAGUUGCCACAUUUACAUUUUGGAAGACCUCUUUGCCCCUCCCAUCACACACGAGUCACAUCAGCUCCAUCUUGGCCAAUGGUGAAUUUCAGGAUAGAAUGGAACUGCUUUUUACCAAAGACUGAGCAAACCGUGUAUCUAUAUUAAAAGCAAACGCACUGAAAUUCAUAAAAUAAAACUAAGGUGAUUUUGUUGCAAAGAAGAUUCACUAAAGCCUGCUCAGAUGGAGGGGUUUAUGACAAGGGAUGAUGAGUAGAGUCUUGUGAAAAUCCAAGAACUAGAGUUAUAACAGCAUAACAGAGCUGAACCUCUACCUUUAUCAGAUAAGAAUGGACAGCCAGGAAUCAGAAGACAAUUGAGGAAGGCAUUAAAAAUGAAAGAAAACUAAAAUAAAUAUAGAAAAGGAAUCUACGGAAAAGAGAAAAGAAUUGCUGGCAGUGGAAGAAAAUUCCUCACUCCACAGAAGAAGAAACCAUAUACUUAAUGUCCUCAGAGAGAAACCUCUAGCAGCUGAAAUGGUACCAUCUGACUCCAACUUUCUUCUGGAAUUUUUGCAGUCCCUCCAUGAACUUAAUCGUCUUUUCAGUUUCUGAAAGCAGAAACAAUAUUUGAAAAGUCUCACUUUUUAAUCAGUAGAGUUAACGUGAGAGUUUGACCUCUAAACCAAACCUUUAAACACCCAACUUGGCAAUUUAUUACUUCUGCAGUUAUUGCUAUUAGACCAGCCCUAGGAACAAGCAACUCAUCUAAAACGUAUUGUUCGCCUGCUAUUGCUAUUAAGACAGGUGCAAACCUACAUGACACAAAGCAACCGGUCAUUUGGGCAGACAGCAAAACAGGGCGACCUGGAGCUACCAUUGACACACCACAGCGUGACCUCCUCGGGCCUUAUCAAACUAGCCGUAAGAAAUGGUCUUUAAGUGAAACAUGGAUCUUUGCUUGGAGACAGGAAUGGAUAUGUACGUUAAUUCUACCUCUGAUCUCUCAGCGGUAACUAUACUCAUCAUUCACUUUGAAGACUCAAGUGUAGCCCAAACAUUUCAGCAGAAGAUCAACGGAAGAAAAACUUAAUAAAAAAUUCUGUUGUUGCAUUUGUGUAUGUAUGAGUAUAUUUGAUUUCUGGUUAAACAGACAAAACUGUUUCCUUUUUAUAAAUACACUUAAACAAGUCGUGAUACUGAUAUGACUAUUCUAGUUCUAAGCGAGACUUCAAAGUCUAACUUAAACAUUGUAAGAGUUUCCAUGCUCUAGAGUCCACAUUAGACUCAAAUGGGGU